UAGAGAGCUGCUAAAAAAAAACAGAAGAUAAACAAACUGAGUUUCAUAUACAUAGUCCAAAUCCAAAAUACAGAGCUACUCGCACUGGCGAGUUAAGUCUACUAUGUACAGAAACUCGAAACAAAAUAUCUACCUGCAGUAGGGGCACCUCUAGCUCAGCACGACGGGUAGGGCUCUAACUCGUGACGCCCUUGCCUCGAUCCUGAUCCGCGGAAGGCGCAGCAGCCGGAACCUGUGGCUCUGCAAAAUAGAGGUAACAACUGGGCGUGAGAACUACUGUAAAAACAAGUAGUCCUCAGUGGGUACCGCCCAAAACCACAUCGGUCCACCCACUAAGUCUACAGAAGGGAGCAAGAGUAGUCAGAAAAGCAGGAAGUAAACUCUACCGCUAUCGAUCACUACACUAUCAUGCUCUACACUAACCAACUGUAGUAAAUGUCAAAUCUGACCCAAUCUCAAUCGGACUGUAGAGCAUACCCCCCGACUAUGAAUAUCACCGUCCCUGCCCCGUUGCGACUAUCAGGCUCUAAUCACACUAACGUGGUCCGUGGAGAAGCAGUCCAACUGGCAUCGAGCGAUCACCAACGCGAAAAGCACAAAGCCUGACUCAGGGACUCGUGGCGCCUACCCAACUGAGUAUGCCCCCAAUAUUCCUGUCGGAGCUCAAAUCAGGCUUCUGAAAUAGCCAAAGUCAAGUAACGGCGACUCAAAACGUCUAUACACCACGAUGGUAAAUGUGCCCUCGGCACAUCUGACGCCAAAAAUGGCGAUGACGGGUCCCCCCCCACCGCAACUCUGACGCACCACCACAGCGGGAAACAACUCUGAACGAUUCUGUAAAAAUACUACUCAGGCCGAAUCAGCACCAGUGUAUGUAAUCUAAACUAACGGCUGGAGUACUCGUGCUGCGAAGGAACUGGACAGUGAACAUUUAAUAACGGCUCCUAGGGCUAAAUAGGCAGUUUAAACAAGUGACAGGUCCAAAUCGCAGGUUUUCUGCCUAAUUCAAUUUCAAGUCACAUGUAUAACUACUUAAUUUAUUAACCACAUGCUCCAAAUUCAGAUUUGCAUCUACAAUAUAAUCAUGAAUUAGCUAGAAUAGAGUACCAAAGGUCGAAAAUUAGACAUCGACGAAUAUGAACUUUAGGCAGUAAUAAUAACCGAUGUAACCCACCUGCCGACAGGGGCGACCCAACAUCCGGCCGCGACGUCGAAACCGACGAAAAAUCACCGCUCCCCGGCCUCAACGGCCUACCACGACGCACGCAUCGCUCACGGCUGUCCAGUGCGCGAAGUUUGACGGUCGUCCAAUCUCAACUAUAGCUCCCACGAGCUCUCCACUUCCAACAAGAGAGAGGAAAUUACAAAUCACCACUAUCCCCUUAGCCACAAGAUAAGAGAUGCAUGGGGGUGCACGUUGGCAUCCAGAGCCACCCCCAUGCAUCACACCGACUAAAAAAUUUUAAAAAGAAAUAUAAUAAAUAAAUAACAAGGACUACAUUGUAAACUACAUACAACCAAACGCCCCUAAUUUAAAUAGGUUUACAAUUAUUCUAUGUCAUUUCAUAAUUAUUUUUCUUUCUUCUUUUGAGUUAUUAAUAGAGUUACUACUAAUUUAUUAGGUUUACAAUUAUUUAUGGUGCAUUUCAAUUGUUUUUUUUUUGUAAGGUCAUUAUAUGAAAUGCCACUCAUUUUAAUUAGGUUUAAAAUUAGUUAUGUGUAAGUUUUCAUGAUAUGUGGUUUUUUUUUGUUUUUGUUCUCCAUUUUUUUUUUUUUUUUUUUUUUUUUUUUCUUGACUCAACUAUAUAAUUAUUUCUAAAGUUUGGAAAAGUUAAAAAAAUAUAUAAACUAUAUAAAUUUUCAAUGACUCUAAUUUUCGUAACAAUUUUCGGAUUCGUUGUAACUAAAUGACUCAAUUGCCUCUCUUCCUUUUGUAUGCUUGGAUUAUAUCUAAGGAUAUUUGAGUCAUUCAACUUUCAAGUAUUUAACCGGUUAAUUAAUAUUAACUAAAAAAUAGCAUAUAAUUUAUUUUUAAUGUCACGCCCCGGAUUACCACGUUUCUCCGGGCACGUCAACAGACCUGUAUACAUAGAAAUUUUUCGUGUAUACGAAGCGACAGCUGUACCUAAAAUCAAAUCAUAGCUACAACCAAAAGGUAAGAGCUGCUAAACUGAAACAUGUAUAUAUAAAACAUAAAGUUCAUAGUACAUACAAAAGCUCCGAACCAACACUAACACCUCGUUCCAGCGAGUAAGUCAAACAUAGAGUAUGUACAUGAACAAAACCCACUACCCCUGACGGGUACUCCGCUAGCACAGCAACCAAGGGUAGCAAGAAUCUAGCUCACGACUCCCUUCCCGCGGUCGGAAUCAGCAACAACAGUAGCCGCAGACGAAGGCUCUGCAAAAAGGUGUCAACAAUUGGGUGUGAGAACUACUGUAAAAUAGAGUAGUCCUCAGUGGAUUCUGCCACCGACCUCAACGGCUCACCCACUAAAUCUACAAAAAUAUAUGCAAGGAAUAGUAAGGAAUGCUAAAUUUUUUUUUUUUUUUUUGAGAGAGAGAUAGAUAGCACGCUACCCCCUUCACUUAUUUCAUUUAGAAAUAAACUUAGUUAGAAAUAUGAAUCAACUGGAAUUCGAACUUGGGACCUCGGGUACCAACCACGAAGCCUUUUGCCACUUAUUUUAGGGACGGUCGGUUAUGUAAAAGUUAAGAAAGAAAAACUGUAUAAAAAUAGAUAUUUAUAGAAUUUUUUUAUAUAUAUUUUAGCGUUUCUUAUUGUUUUUUUUUGGAGUGGUGAUAGUGGUGAAGUGGAUGGGAGCUUAUGUAACUCCUUUUUUUUUUGUGUGUGUGUGUGUGUGGUUGUGGCAGGUGUGUGGCCUGAAUCUGAGAGCUUUAAGGAUGAGGGGUUGGGCCCAAUCCCUUCAAAGUGGAAGGGAAUCUGCCAGAAUGACUUUGAUAAGAGCUUCUCUUGCAAUAGGUGUGUAUGUGUUCCCCUCUCUCUCUACCAUCUCUCUCUCUCAAUUAUCUCUCUACCAUCUCUCUCUAGGCAUAUUGCAUUAUAUAGUCCUUUUCUUUUUUCUUUUUUUUUUUUUGAGAGAGAUAGAUAGCACGCUACCCGCUUUGUUUAUCUCAUUUAGAAAUAAACUUAGCUAGAAAUGUGAAUCAACUAAGAUUUGAACUUGGGUCUCGAGUACCAACCAUCAAGCUCUUUGCCACUUGCUCUAGGGACGGUCGGUAUAUAGUCCUUAUCACAUGGAAAAUUCUUUGGGCCCCCUCUUAUGGUUGGGUAUACCUAAUGUUUGGUCAGUGUUGUACAAGUAAAUCUGUGUCUUUAUAAUUUGAUCAUCUCUCUGUUAUUAGGCAGAUAUUUUAGUAUAUAUGUAGUUUUUUUGAUAUGGAGAGUUCUUUCGACCUUUCUUAUUCAAAUUGGUCUCUAUUGUAUAAAUGAAUCUGUGCGUCCUGAUCUCUCUCUCGCUAUCUCUAUCUCUUUUUUUGUGCAUGUAUUAGUAUGCAGUCGUUUUCAGAUGAAAGAUUCUUUAGAUCUCUCUUAUUGAUAUCCCGUAAUAUCUUGUUUGUACUGUAUAAAUAAAUCCGUGGAUUCUGAUUUCUCUCUCUCUCUUUGUGCAUGCAUUAGUAUGCAAUUCUUUUCAUAUGAAAAAUUCUUUAGAUCUCUCUUAUUGAUAUUCCCUAAUAUUUUGUAUGUACUGUAUAAAUAAAUCCGUGCAUUCUGAUCUCUCUCUCUCUCUCUCUAUCUCUCUCUCUUUUUGUGCAUUUAUUAGUAUGUUGUGGUUACUAUACGUAGGGACGUCAAUGGGUAUGGCUACCCGAAAUUUUAUCCGAAUCGAACCCAAACGGAGUGCAUUUAUCCGAUGUUAAAUGGAUAUAGUUUUGGAUAUGGAUAUCAAAAAUAAAAAUUCGACGGAUAUGAAUUUGACUGUACCCGACCCGAACCCAAACCCGACCCUAACUCAAUCCGAACCCAAAUUUAUUUAAAUAUAACAUGUAAAUCAAAAUUUGAUGUUAUAUUUGAAUUUGUAUUUUAAAAAUUUAGAUUUGAUGCAAUAUAUUUAGAAAUAUUGAAAAGAAAAUUAAUUGUUUCGGGUUUGGAUUUUUGGGUUUGGUUUCUGGUUUUGAAUUUUUGGUCGGGUCGGGUUAGGGUUUGGAUAUGGAUUUAUAAAAUUCGUCGGUUUUGGUUUUGGGGUUGGAGUCGGGUUCUAGUUUGGGUUCGGGUUCGAGUUCGGAUUUUUGAAAAUCUAUUCUGAAUCCGCCAUGUUGACAUCCCUAACCAUAUGGUAUGUAUGAAAAAUUCUUUAAAAAAUUAUCAUGAAAUGCACAUAUUAGUACAUUUUAAUUUGUUACCUAGGUACUAUGUACUUCUUUUUGCAGUAAGUAUUAUUUUGCUUAAUACAUUAUAGUUAAAGAGAGUUGGAGAUUAAACAAAAAACCUUGAACAACAUCCCAAACUCAUUAAAUGUAGAUGUUAAUUCAUUUAUAGGUGAUUAUUAAUUUUCAUCUUAUUUUUCUAUUUUACUUUAUUUUAUUAUACUUAAUUUGCAUUGAAAACUUAACAUUUUUAUUAAAAGAUGAUGCACCUGCACCAUGUCCAUCAUUAGUUGCUUACUUUUUAAUUAUCUUGUGUUAAUUUAUAGAAGAACAAAAUAUAAUAAUACUAUAAAAUAAUUUUCACUGUGUUUGCAUUUUUUUUUUUUUAUUUUGCAAUAAUUACUUCUAAACUAUUCACAUAUUUUAUUCUCCUAAAAGGUCAGAGGAUGUAUCAUCUUCUCCAUUUUUUUUUUUUUUUAGGCACAAAGUAGGAGUAGCGAUGUAAAUGGAUCUAGGUUGGUGGAGCUUCUGCCCUAUACCCCGAUCCACUCAGAAUAGGAUGGUAAAUAGAAGCAAAAAAUAUAAAAAAUGAUAACCCGUUCGGAAUCUUUCCCAAUUCGCCAAAAAAUAGCGCGGGAGAUGGGAGAUUCUUUUUUUUUUUAAUUACUCAUCCAGAUCUGUCAAAAUCAGCUAAGAAUUUGCUCCCACUUCCAUUGAAGUGGUAAGCGGAGACAAAAUGAGAUAAAAAUUUUACCAGCCCCAUCCCGAAAAUCGACUCCAUUUGCAAUUCUAAGUAGGAGAUAGAAUCCCAACAUGUUGAUCUACUGUCACGCCCCGGAUUAUUCGUUUCCCUGGGCACGCCAAUAGAAUCGCCGUAUAUAUAAAAAAAUUUUCUGUAUACGAAGCGAUAGCUGUACCUGUACCUGUAAUCAUACAACACUACAACCAGUAAUGUAGAGCUGCUAAAAAGAACAAUAUAUAAAUAAAACUGGUUCACUAUACAUACAUAGCAUCUUGGUACAAAAACACUCGCUCCAGCGAGAAUCUAACAUCAGUAUGUAUAAGAACCAAAAACUACAACUACCUAUAGCUGGUAUAUUUCUAAAUCAGCAGCAAAACGGGAAGGGAUCUAGCUCGCGACUCCCUUUCCAUGAUCGAUAUCCGCGAUAGCAGCAGCCGAUGAAGAAGACUCUGCAAAAAGAGGGGUAACAACUGGGCGUGAGAACUACUGCAAAAGAAGUAGUCUUCAGUAGGUACCGCCCUCAAUCUCAUCGGCUCACCCACCAAGUCUACAGAAAGUAUGCACAAAUGAUAGUAAGGGAACUGAAAACAAUCUACAGCUGUAUACUACUAUACUAUCAUAAUACAACACUAACUAUCUGUAGUAUAAUGCAAUCUCAGACCCAAUCUCACUAGGGACUGUGAACACAUCCGCCCAUGGGACUGUGAAUACACCCGUCCCGCCUGUCAAAGUUAUACUGCUACCCCACGCUAAGCCGUCCGUGGAGAGCAAGUCCAACCAGGACACAAUGACACCAACGCAAACGCACAAAGCCCGAUUCCGGAGUGGCACUCGUGGGCAUUACCUAACCGAGUAUGCUAGCGUGUCUCUGUCGAGCUCAAUCAAUCUCUCACAGGCUAUAGUCAAGUAAACAAGGUCUAAAAAUCCAACUCACGUGCCCUCGGCACAAUCUGAUGCAAAAACAGUAAUCUGGGUCCACCGUCAACCCCGACAGCAUCCGAUAGUCCGGAACAACCUAAAACACUACUGUAAAAAUAAGCUCGGUAUCUCAGCACGAGCAUAAAAAUAUUCUACACUAUCUUAGGUAUCCACCGUCCACAAACUGCAGCAAUACAAACAAAUUACAGCUCCUACAGCUAAAUCUGGUAGUUUUAACAUAUGACAAUGUAGAAUCGCUGGUUUUCUCCUUAGUCACUUCCAAGUCCAACAUGUAUAAUUUAUCUAACUCACAACAGCAUGCUCUAAAUUCAGAUUUUGUUUAACAUGCUAAUCGAUGAAUUCGAGCUAAAAAUGUGAUAUACAUAGGCUGAAAAUAUACAUGUUGAUUAUGCAUACACUUAGGAGGAGAAUCCGAUGAUUAACCUACCUCUAGCGCUAAUCCACGACUGCGAGGAGGUCACGAAGUUGCUGGAGGCCUCAGCAGAAAUCACCCACAACCAGGAACUCUGCUACUCAAAGGAUCUAAAUGUUAAAACACCAAAAAUUUUCGUACUACAUACAAUUUCAGCAUUUAAGCUUAAAUUCACCUUAAUCACAAAGUUAAUUUCACCUUCCAAUUUUCAAAUUAGGUGAGAAAAGGUCCCAAAUCCUAUGAACUGUGAUGGAGUAUCACCCUCUGGUCCGAAACCGAGCUUCCUCGAAAGAUUGCACCAAGAAACCCACAAUUCACAGAUUCAGUCCAAAAACACCAGCAGCACAGUAAAAAGCCAAAUUAACCAAGCUAACCUCAACCAAAUUCUGUCAAAAUGGGCUCCACGAAUUUCUCUUGAAGUCCAGAAUCCACCAAACCAAGUUUCGUGGCAAACGGAGCUUCCUACGUCGCACACGAGCCAAAACACCGAAGAUCGCUGCUGGAAAACUGCUAGAACAGCAAUCCUCAAGGUGGAAAGUGGGCCAAUUGAAAAAAUUUGAGGGAAUUUGAGAGUUACGAGACAAUUUCAAGCUUUCCUGUGAAAGAAAGGUGAAAAAGCUUCUCAGAGGUCAACUACAAGCUAUUUAUAGGGAGGAGAAAGGGUGAAAUAGGCCCAAGGAACAAGAACUGUUAACCUGCUGCCCUACAGAAACAACAAGUUUCGAGCGCCCGGAAUCAUGUUCUGGGCGUCCGAAACAUCCAAGCUGCACAAAUCCUUCUCUUCGGUUCCUCCGCCCGCAGUGUGCUGUGCCCCUAACGUGGUCCGGCGGAUCCCACCUACCACCAACACGUGUCAAAGAGAAUGAUAUUUCCAAAGUAAACUUUCGGAUCCAUAUCUGGGCGGCCGAAACCAGGAUUCGAAUUGCCUUCCAGUUCUGCUCAGACCAACACUCAAGUUCUGGGCGACCCAAACCCAGUUUUGGGCGGCCGAAUCUGGCAAAACUCCAGUUUUGCCUAUUUGAGUGCGCCAAGUCCAUUUCUGCAUCUAUUUCGUGCAGAAAUGACUCCGACUCAAUCCGACACUCUCCAGAUGUGUCGACCAGUCACUAAUACUGUAGCCAAUCCUAUCCAAACCUCCGAAACAUUACAUCCUCCCCCACUACAAAAGUUUCGUCCUCGAAACUUAAUACAUACCUCAAUCCUGAGUCUCAAACAACAAGGGGUAGGACUCCCGCAUCACUGCCUCCGGCUCCCAAGUCGCCUGCCGCUCCUCAUGAUUACUCCACUGCACCUUUACAUAAGUGAAAACCCGAUUGCGUAAUUCUUUCGUUUCACGAGCCAGAAUUCGUACUGGUCGCUCCUCAAAUCUCAAGUCCUCGCCAAGCUCUAGCGGAGUGAAGUCAAUCAUGUGGGAGGGGUCGAACACAUAUCUCCUCAAAAUCGAGACAUGAAAAACAUCAUGGAUGCCGGCCAGUCGUGGGGGUAGAGCAAUCCUAUAAGCAACUGGCCCAACUCGCUCCAAUAUCUCAAAAAGGCCUACAACGCGUGGACUGAGCUUUCCACGCACUCCAAAUUUGUGUAUCCCUCUAGACGGCGAGACUUUCAAAAACACAUGAUCUCCAACCUGAAACUCUAAGUCUCGUCUCCUGGUAUCGGCGUAGCUCCUCUGGCGGCUCUGAGCUGUCAAAAGGUGUCGUCGUACAGCUCUAACCUUUUCCUCAGCCUUUAGCAAAAUCUCAGGCCCUAGCGUCUUUCUUUCACCCACAUCACUCCAAAACAAAGGGGAUCGACAUCUGCGUCCAUACAAUGCCUCAAACAGAGCCAUCUGAAUGCUUGUUUGAUAGCAUGUCCUCCAUAGUCUGUAUGGUCCGCUUUGACUGACCAUCUGUCUGUGGCUGAAACGCCAUGUUGAAGUGCAACUGGGUACCCAAGGCUGUCUGAAGACUCCUCCAAAAGUGCGAAACGAACCUCGGGUCUCGAUUCGAUACAAUCGAAGUAGGCACGCCAUGCAACCUCACAAUCUCAUCCAGAUACAACUGAGCGAGUCUCUCUCUGGACUAAGUGGUCUGUACUGGUAGGAAGUGAGCAGACUUAGUCAGUCUGUCCACUAUCACCCAAAUAGCAUCGAAACCACUUUGUGCUCUAGGUAAUCCCACGACAAAGUCCAUCGUGAUCUACUCCUAUUUCCACUCGGGCACUGGCUGACUUUGAAGCUUGCCAGCAGAUACCUGAUGCUCUGCCUUUACCUGUUGACAAGUCAGACACUGAGCCACAAAUCUGUUAAUGUCCCUCUUCAUUCCAUUCCACCAAAAGUGUGCCUUCAAAUCCUUAUACAUCUUGGUUCUACUAGGGUGAACCAUAUAAGGUGAAUAAUGAGCCUCUCUCAAAAUCUCCUCUCGGAUCUCUGAAUCCAUAAGCACACACAAUCGGUCCCUGUACCGCAGUACUCCCGAACUGUCCACAACAAAACCCUCUGACUGUCCCCUCUCUAAUUGCUCUCGAAUCCUCAGCAAGUACGAGUCUCCACUCUAUUUCUCCCGGAUCCUAUCCAACAGAAUGGGCUGCAAGACCAUAGACAUCAGUCUCACAGUAGACCUAAAGGACAUAAUCUCGAGCCUCAACCGCUGCAGCUCCUCAAGUAACGGCUUCUACUGAGUAAUCAUCAUGCUCAAGCUCUACACUGACUUCCUGCUCAAUGCAUCUGCCACCAUAUUCGUCUUGCCGGGAUGAUACUUAAUACUAAUAUCUUAGUCCUUCAAUAACUCCAACCACCGGUGUUGCCUCAGGGUCAACUCUUUUUGGGUGAACAGAUACUUGAGACUUUUAUGAUUAGUGAAAAUCUUACAGUGCUCGCCAUACAGAUAAUGCUGCCACAACUUCAAAGCAAAAACCACUGCGGCAAGCUCCAAGUCAUGCGUAGGGUAAUUCUUCUCGUAAUCCUUCAAUUGCGGUGAAGCAUAAGCAAUUACCCUACCAUGCUGCAUCAGUACACAACCCAAACCACUGUGUGAUGCAUCACUAUAAAUCACAAAUCCUUCCCCCAUAACUAGGAGGGCAAGGAUAGGAGCCGACAUCAACCUCUGUCUCAGCUCAUUAAAGCUUCUCUGACAAUCCUCACUCCAGAUGAACUUAAAUCUCUUUCGAGUCAAUCGAGUGAGGGUGUGGAAAGUUUCGCAAAGCCUUCCACAAACCGACGGUAAUAUCCAGCAAGUCCAAGGAAACUCCUCACCUCUGUCACCGUCGUCGGUCUGGGCCAAUCCCGAAUAGCAUCAAUCUUCUUUGGGUCUACUGCUACUCCAACUACAGAAAUAACAUGGCCCAAGAAAGAAACCUCCCGUAACCAAAACUCGCACUUCUUCAACUUAACAUACAACUUCUUCUCUCUCAAAAGCUGUAGCACAAUCCUCAAGUGCUCCUCAUGCUCGGCGUCACUCCGGAAGUAUACCAAGAUAUCAUCGAUGAAUACAACCACAAAUCUAUCCAAGAACGACUUGAACACUCAGUUCAUCAAAUCCAUAAAUACGACAGGGGCAUUCGUCAAUCCAAAAGGCAUCACAGUAAACACAUAAUGCCCGUAUCGAGUCCGAAAAGCCGUCUUGGGAACAUCCUCGGCCCUCACCCUCAGCUGGUGGUAACCUAACUGUAAAUCAAUCUUCAAGAAGACACAAGAUGCUUGUAGCUGAUCAAACAGAUCAUCAAUGUGUGGCAAAGGAUACUUAUUCUUGAUGGUCACUUUAUUCAGCUCCCGAUAAUCCACACACAAUCUAGGUGAACCAUCCUUCUUCUUCACAAAUAACAUUAGCGCUCUCCAAGGUGAUACACUGGGUCUCACAUACCCAUUAUCCAUCAGAUCCUGAAGCUGCACCUUUAGCUCUCUCAGCUCGGCCGGUGCCAUCCGGUAGGGUGUCUUCGAGAUUGGUGCAGUUCCAGGAACUACAUCAAUCACAAACUCGAUCUCCCUCUCCGGCAGCAUCGUCGUCAACUCCGGGAGAAACACAUUCGAAAACUUGCGGACUAUAGGGAUAUCCUCGAGUCUCGGCGUCGCCGUAGGCACCUCCACAACCGUCGUCAGAAAAGCAACACAUCCUCUACUCAUCAGCUGUCGAGCCCUCGCCGAAGAAAUCCAAGUGGCAAACAACGUACUCCUGCAGCCUCUGAAAGUGAACACCUCCUGGUCUGGCUCGCGGAACGUCACAGUUCUCGCUCCACAAUCAAUAGUAGCAUAGUACCGCGCCAGCCAAUACAUGCCGAACACAACGUCAAAGUCCUACAGCUGCCCUAAAACCAACAGGUCUGCGGGCAUGAUCCAAGAAUCUAACUGCACCGGACACGACCAACAACACUCUGCAACCUGUAAAACAUGGUCGGGAAUUUGCACCUCUCAUGCCUGUGACAAUGACCCUAACUUUAGACCAUGCAACAAUACAAAUGCUCGGCUAACAAAAGAAUGUGAUGCACCGAUAUCAAAAAGUGUACGAGCUCGAAUAUCAGAAAUCAAAAUGAUACCUGCCACCACUCGGUCGGCUGCUGUAGAAUCCUCCACCUUAGCUGCGUAUACCCUGCCACUCGGAGCCUGCUGUCGUCGCUCACCCUGACGCGGCAUGGACAUCCUGUCCUCCCGGCAGUAACUCGGUGCUGCCCC
rnacentral:lncRNA from 1 species